rnacentral:snoRNA from 1 species
UCAUGGGCCUCCCGCCUGCCAGGGUCUGCAGUGAGCCUGUGCACGUCUGCUGCGCCUCCCAACAGCUGAGGGGUGGUUUGAGGCCCUGCUCUGCUUUGUCGGGGCAAGGCUAUAGAACGGUCAGACAGUU